AACGAACGCUGGCGGCAUGCCUAACACAUGCAAGUCGAACGAGACCUUCGGGUCUAGUGGCGCACGGGUGCGUAACGCGUGGGAACCUGCCCUUAGGUUCGGAAUAACUCCCCGAAAGGGGUGCUAAUACCGGAUAAUGUCUUCGGACCAAAGAUCUAUCGCCUUUGGAUGGGCCCUCGUUGGAUUAGCUAGUUGGGAGGGUAAAAGCCUACCAAGGCGACGAUCCAUAGCUGGUCUGAUAGGAUGAUCAGCCACACUGGGACUGAGACACGGCCCAGACUGCUACGGGAGGGAGGAGUGGGGAAUAUUGGAGGCUGGGCGAAAGUCUGAUCCAGCAAUGCCGCGUGAGUGAUGAAGGCCUUAGGGUUGUAAAGCUCUUUUACCCGGGAUGAUAAUGACAGUACCGGGAGAAUAAGCACCGGCUAACUACGUG
rnacentral:rRNA from 1 species